rnacentral:rRNA from 1 species
CCUGACUGCUAUCGGAUUGAUACUAACCCUUGCAAGUCUUUGCAGUAAUGCAAGGCAUACGGCUCAGUAACACGUAGUCAACUUACCCUAUGGACGAGGAUAAUCUCGGGAAACUGAGCAUAAUACUCGAUAGAUCAUAAUGCCUGGAAUGGUUUAUGGUUGAAAUGAUUCGUCGCCAUAGGAUGGGACUGCGGCCUAUCAGCUUGUUGGUGAGGUAAUGGCCCACCAAGGCGAUUACAGGUACGGGCUCUGAGAGGAGAAGCCCGGAGAUGGGUACUGAGACAAGGACCCAGGCCCUAUGGGGCGCAGCAGGCGAGAAAACUUUGCAAUGUGCGAAAGCACGACAAGGUUAAUCCGAGUGAUUUCUGCUAAAGAAAUCUUUUGCAAGUCAUAAAACCACUAGUGAAUAAGGGGUGGGCAAGUUCUGGUGUCAGCCGCCGCGGUAAAACCAGCACCUCAAGUGGUCAGGAGGAUUAUUGGGCCUAAAGCAUCCGUAGCCGGCUCUGUAAGUUUUCGGUUAAAUCCAUGUGCUCAACGCAUGGGCUGCCGAAAAUACUGCAUAGCUAGGGAGUGGGAGAGGUAGACGGUACUCGGUAGGAAGGGGUAAAAUCCUUUGAUCUAUCGAUGACCACCUGUGGCGAAGGCGGUCUACCAGAACACGUUCGACGGUGAGGGAUGAAAGCUGGGGGAGCAAACCGGAUUAGAUACCCGGGUAGUCCCAGCUGUAAACGAUGCAGACUCGAUGAUGCAUUGGCAUAUAGCCAGUGCAGUGUCGCAGGGAAGCCGUUAAGUCUGCCGCCUGGGAAGUACGUACGCAAGUAUGAAACUUAAAGGAAUUGGCGGGGGAGCACCACAAGGGGUGAAGCCUGCGGUUC